UACAGAGGGUGCGGGCGUUAAUCGGAAUUACUGGGCGUAAAGCGCGCGUAGGCGGCUUUGCAAGUCGAGCGUGAAAUCCCCAGGCUUAACCUGGGAACUGCAUUCGAGACUGCAUAGCUAGAGUAUGGGAGAGGGAAGUGGAAUUUCAGGUGUAGCGGUGAAUUGCGUAGAUAUCUGAAGGAACAUCAGUGGCGAAAGCGACUUCCUGGACCAAUACUGACGCUCAUGUGCGAAAGCGUGGGGAGCAAACAGG
rnacentral:rRNA from 1 species